CAAGUUCCUGCAGUGGAUAAAGAUGUUUGCAGUCACUCCAUGAGACGUCUCUGUGCAGGAUCAGAUUUUUUUGUGGAUUUAGAGAAAACAACAGUGACAGAAGUUCAGCAAAUAUUUUUAUCACCCUAACUGGAUGUCGACAAUCAGUAAGAGCCUCCCUACAGAUAUAUGAGUCAAUGCCUGAAGACACAGGAGUGAGAGGAGUGAGUGAAGCUGAGUCCCCACAUAGAUGGAACUUCUCGUUGGGUGGUGCAGAUCUACAUUGAUGGGGGGAGGCAUCUUUCAAAUGAGCCAUUAAUGGACACAGGUGAACUUUCGUAGAAGAGGAGAGGGUGACUUUUAUCCUAAGGAACUAGAUUUUUCUUUCUUAAACAUUGACAUAUUUCUCCUAAACUG